CUCAAAGUACUGCUGGGCUCGGUCAGCCUCUUUGCAAUCCCGCUCAAAACGUCUUUUACUCUAAGAGCAGAGGAAGAUGGUGACAGGGUCACGUUUCACCAUUUUAAGUGCCUCUUGACAGCAAGGUUUACCCAUCUAGCAAUUUUUUUGGUCUGGAGGAGCCCCGUGGGGCUUCGUAUUUCGAGUCUCAUAAUAGACAGAGGGAUACGACAGAAAAGAGAUGGAUACGACCAAAAAGAGAUGGAGUCGAAGAUUCAAAGACAGACACAAAAAGAAAACCUCGGCACCCAACUCAGAGCUGGGCUCUAAGCUUCUACUCUAACAGCAGCUCUGAAAUGAACGUUUGCACAAAACGAAAGCUCCCUCACAGCCAGCGCCGUCCUGACCGAGAGGAAAUGCACACAAAGAACGUGCAGAAACGACGGACCCUGCACAGGAAAGGUGGAUCGGGCUUUACCAGCAGAGGGAUCGGAUCUGAAGACCACAGUCUUCCAAAAAAGGCCAUGUUUGGGAAGCACGAGUGGAUAAUUUGAUCAAAAAUCUACUAGAUAGUAAAUUCUCUUGCUGCUUCUUCAUUUCCAGGUUGAAUAAUAAAUAUGCAUUUAUUUUUCAA